rnacentral:rRNA from 1 species
ACGUAGGUGGCAAGCGUUGUCCGGAUUUACUGGGCGUAAAGGGAGCGUAGGCGGACUUUUAAGUGAGAUGUGAAAUACCCGAGCUCAACUUGGGUGCUGCAUUUCAAACUGGAAGUCUAGAGUGCAGGAGAGGAGAAUGGAAUUCCUAGUGUAGCGGUGAAAUGCGUAGAGAUUAGGAAGAACACCAGUGGCGAAGGCGAUUCUCUGGACUGUAACUGACGCUGAGGCUCGAAAGCGUGGGGAGCAAACAG